rnacentral:tRNA from 1 species
GAGGGUGUAGCUCAGUGGUAGAGCACAUGCUUAGCAUGCACAAGGUCACGGGUGCAAUCCCCAGUACCUCCA